UACAGAGGGGGCAAGCGUUGUUCGGAAUUACUGGGCGUAAAGGGCGCUUAGGCGGCCUUCUAAGUCGAACGUGAAAUCCCCGGGCUCAACCCGGGAACUGCGUCCGAUACUGGGAGGCUUGAAUCCGGGAGAGGGAUGUGGAAUUCCAGGUGUAGCGGUGAAAUGCGUAGAUAUCAAGAGGAACACCUGAGGUGAAGACGGGUUGCUGGGCCGACACUGACGCUGAGUGCGCGAAAGCCAGGGGAGCAAACGGG
rnacentral:rRNA from 1 species